rnacentral:tRNA from 1 species
UCCUCGAUAGCUCAGUCGGUAGAGCAUCAGACUUUUAAUCUGAGGGUCCAGGGUUCAAGCCCUGUUCGAGGAGCCA